rnacentral:rRNA from 1 species
GGCGGACGGGUGAGUAACGCGUGAGAAUCUGCUUGGGGUCGGGGAAACCACUGGAAACGGUGGCUAAUACCGGAUAAGCCUUUGGGUAAAAGAUUUAUUGCCCCAAGAGGAGCUCGCGUCUGAUUAGCUAGUUGGUGAGGUAAAAGCUCACCAAGGCAGCGAUCAGUAGCUGGUCUGAGAGGACGAUCAGCCACACUGGGACUGAGACACGGCCCAGACUCCUACGGGAGGCAGCAGUGGGGAAUUUUCCGCAAUGGGCGAAAGCCUGACGGAGCAAGACCGCGUGAGGGAGGAAGGCUCUUGGGUUGUAAACCUCUUUUCUCAGGGAAGAAGCUCUGACGGUACCUGAGGAAUCAGCCUCGGCUAACUCCGUGCCAGCAGCCGCGGUAAAUACGGAGGAGGCAAGCGUUAUCCGGAAUUAUUGGGCGUAAAGCGUCCGCAGGUGACGAUUCAAGUCUGCUGUCAAAGCACGGAGCUUAACUCCGUUAAGGCAGUGGGAACUGAAUAGCUAGAGUGCCAGAGGGGUAGAGGGAAUUCCCGGUGUAGCGGUGAAAUGCGGUAGAGAUCGGGAAGAACAUCGGUGGCGAAAGCGCUCUACUGGACGGCAACUGACACUCAGGGACAAAAGCUAGGGGAGCGAAUGGG